GUGGGGCCGGAUCAGUUUCUGGUGGCGCUGGGUAUGGACCAGGUGGAGCCGGGUUUGGACCAGGUGGAGUGGGAUCUCAAAGUGGAGGAGCAGGGACAGCAGCCGGAGGGUAUGAUGCCAAUGCCAAAGCCCGUAAAUAUGGUAUGUUAAGUGGAGCGCUUGGAGGCGGUCUUGGAGCAGGAACAGGUGGAACCAGAACAGGAUAUGGACCUGGGGGUGGAACAGGAACUGGUUCUGCUGGCACUGGAACUGGCCUUGGACCAGGAAGUGGAGGGGCAGGCUAUGGACCUGGUCGAGGUGCUGGAGUUGGACCAGGUGGG